AUUGAACGCUGGCGGCAUGCCUUACACAUGCAAGUCGAACGGCAUCGCGGGAAAGCUUGCUUUCCUGGCGGCGAGUGGCGAACGGGUGAGUAACACAUCGGAACGUACCGGCUAGUGGGGGAUAACCCGUCGAAAGACGGGCUAAUACCGCAUACGCUCUUCGGAGGAAAGCAGGGGACCUUUGGGCCUUGCGCUAGCCGAGCGGCCGAUGUCCGAUUAGCUAGUUGGUGGGGUAAAGGCCUACCAAGGCGACGAUCGGUAGCGGGUCUGAGAGGACGAUCCGCCACACUGGGGCUGAGACACGGCCCAGACUCCUACGGGAGGCAGCAGUGGGGAAUUUUGGACAAUGGGGGCAACCCUGAUCCAGCAAUGCCGCGUGGGUGAAGAAGGCCUUCGGGUUGUAAAGCCCUUUCGGCAGGGAAGAAAUCGGCGGGGCGAAUAACCCUGCUGGAUGACGGUACCUGCAGAAGAAGCACCGGCUAACUACGUG
rnacentral:rRNA from 1 species